UACGUAGGGGGCUAGCGUUGUCCGGAAUCAUUGGGCGUAAAGAGCGUGUAGGCGGCCCGGUAAGUCCGCUGUGAAAGUCGGGGGCUCAACCCUCGAAUGCCGGUGGAUACUGUCGGGCUAGAGUGCGGAAGAGGCGAGUGGAAUUCCUGGUGUAGCGGUGAAAUGCGCAGAUAUCAGGAGGAACACCGGUGGCGAAGGCGCUCACUAAGCAGUUAUUGACGCUGAGGCACGAAAGCGUGGGGAUCAAACAGG
rnacentral:rRNA from 1 species